AACGAACGCUGGCGGCGUGGAUUAGGCAUGCAAGUCGAACGCGAAAGAGGGGGCAACCCCUCGAGUAGAGUGGCGAACGGGUGAGUAACGCGUGAGAAACCUGCCCUCAGCAGGGGGAUAACACUCCCAACGGAGUGCUAAUACCGCAUGAGACCACGGGACUGCAUGGUCCUGGGGUCAAAGGUGGCCUCUGCUUGCAAGCUACCGGCUGAGGAUGGUCUCGCGUCCCAUUAGCUAGUUGGCGGGGUAAUGGCCCACCAAGGCGACGAUGGGUAGCUGGUCUGAGAGGAUGGUCAGCCACACUGGGACUGAGAUACGGCCC
rnacentral:rRNA from 1 species